CCUUUGAUGCAUGUGUGUGUAGACGACGUGUCAUGGGUUGACCUUUGACCUGAUAACCUUGUCUGCAGAGGAAUGUCCGCCAGGCAAGCGCGCCCCGACGUCGAGAUAAGAGAGUCUUCCCUGCUUCCUUCGCCUGUGAAAAGCGCCGAGUCAGCCGAUCGGUGAGGGGAGCAGUGAGCAGCCACAGUGGCCACACCCGGGAAUCAUUUUUUUGGUGAUUUAACCCCCAAUUCCAACCCUUGAUGCUGAGUGCCAAGCAGGGAGGUGAGGGGAGCAGUGAUCAGCAGUGGUGGCCGCGCCCAGGAAUACUUUUUUGGUGAUUCAACCCCCAAUUCCAACCCUUGAUGCUGAGUGCCAAGCAGGGAGGUGAGGGGAGCAGUGAUCAGCAGUGGUGGUCGCGCCCGGGAAUAAUUUUUUGGUGAUUAAACCCCCAAUUCCAACCCUUGAUGCUGAGUGGCAAGCAGGGAGG